AGUUUAUGUGCUACUCCCUCCGUCCCAUAAUAUUAAAACCUAGGACUGGAUAGGACGUUUCAUAGUACAAUGACUCAGAGUCAUUGUACUAUGAAACGUCCUAUCCAGUCCUAGGUUUUAACAUUAUGGGACGGAGGGAGUAGUCUCAACCUAUAUAAACU
rnacentral:pre_miRNA from 1 species